GACGAACGCUGGCGGCGUGCUUAACACAUGCAAGUCGAACGGAAAGGCCCUGCUUUUGUGGGGUGCUCGAGUGGCGAACGGGUGAGUAACACGUGAGUAACCUGCCCUUGACUUUGGGAUAACUUCAGGAAACUGGGGCUAAUACCGGAUAGGAGCUCCUGCUGCACGGUGGGGGUUGGAAAGUUUCGGCGUUUGGGGAUGGACUCGCGGCUUAUCAGCUUGUUGGUGGGGUAGUGGCUUACCAAGGCUUUGACGGGUAGCCGGCCUGGGAGGGUGACCGGCCACAUUGGGACUGAGAUACGGCCCAGACUCCUACGGGGGGCAGCAGUGGGGAAUAUUGCACAAUGGGCGGAAGCCUGAUGCAGCAACGCCGCGUGCGGGAUGACGGCCGUCGGGUUGUAAACCGCUUUCGCCUGUGACGAAGCGUGAGUGACGGUAAUGGGUAAAGAAGCACCGGCUAACUACGUG
rnacentral:rRNA from 1 species